AUUCCAGCUCCAAUAGCGUAUAUUUUAGUUGUUGCAGUUAAAAAGCUCGUAGUUGAAUUUCUGGUGGGAAGAUGCGGACGGCCUCAUGGUUUGUUCCAAGUCUUCCGGCCAUCCUUGGGUGGAGCUCGUCUGGCAUUAAGUUGUCGGGCGGGGGAUGCCCAUCGUUUACUGUGAAAAAAUUAAAGUGUUCAAAGCAGACUUAUGUCGUUGAAUAUAUUAGCAUGGAAUAAUAAGAUAGGACAGCAGUGCUAUUUUGUUGGUUUGCGCACCGUUGUAAUGAUGAAUAGGGACAGUUGUGGGUAUUUAUAUUCACUUGUAAGAGGUGAAAUUCUUAGAUUAAGGGAAGAUAAACUACUGCGAAAGCAUUUACCAAGGAUGUUUUCAUUA
rnacentral:rRNA from 1 species